GUCGAGUGGUGGGGUGGAUAUCUCUCAGUUGGUAGAGCAUGAGACUUUGAAUCUCAGGGUUGUGGGUUCGAGUCCCACACUGGGCA